rnacentral:rRNA from 1 species
UACGUAGGUGGCAAGCGUUGUCCGGAAUUAUUGGGCGUAAAGCGCGCGCAGGUGGUUUCUUAAGUCUGAUGUGAAAGCCCACCGCUUAACGGUGGAGGGUCAUUGGAAACUGGUCGACUUGAGUGCAGAAGAGGGAAGUGGAAUUCCAUGUGUAGCGGUGAAAUGCGUAGAGAUAUGGAGGAACACCAGUGGCGAAGGCGGCUUCCUGGUCUGUAACUGACACUGAGGCGCGAAAGCGUGGGGAGCAAACAGG